rnacentral:rRNA from 1 species
GGGCAGGGUGAGAAUCCUCAGGCGCUUGAGAGAACUCGGGUGAAGGAACUAGGCAACAUAGCACCGUAACUUCGGGAGAAGGUGCACCCUCGAUCGUGGCACAUGCGUGCUACAGCGAUCGGGGGUCGCAGUGACCAGGCCGCUGCGACUGUUUAUCAAAAACACAGCACUCUGCAAACACGAAAGUGGACGUAUAGGGUGUGACGCCUGCCCGGUGCUGGAAGGUUAAUUGAUGGGGUCAGCCGCAAGGCGAAGCUCUUGAUCGAAGCCCCAGUAAACGGCGGCCGUAACGAUAACGGUCCUAAGGUAGCGAAAUUCCUUGUCGGGUAAGUUCCGACCUGCACGAAUGGCGUAACGACAGCGGCGCUGUCUCCACCCGAGACUCAGUGAAAUUGAAAUCGCUGUGAAGAUGCAGCGUUCCCGUGGCAAGACGGAAAGACCCCGUGAACCUUUACUAUAGCUUUACACUGAACGUUGAGUUCGUCUGUGUAGGAUAGGUGGGAGGCAUUGAAACCUGGUCGCUAGAUCAGGUGGAGCCAACCUUGAAAUACCACCCUGAUGUGCUUGACGUUCUAACCUCGGCCCGUAAUCCGGGUCAGGGACCGUGUAUGGUGGGUAGUUUGACUGGGGCGGUCUCCUCCCAAAGAGUAACGGAGGAGCUCGAAGGUACGCUCAGCGCGGUCGGACAUCGCGCACUGUGUGCAAAGGCAUAAGCGUGCUUGACUGCGAGAUCGACGGAUCAAGCAGGUACGAAAGUAGGACUUAGUGAUCCGGUGGUUCUGUAUGGAAGGGCCAUCGCUCAACGGAUAAAAGGUACUCCGGGGAUAACAGGCUGAUACCGCCCAAGAGUUCAUAUCGACGGCGGUGUUUGGCACCUCGAUGUCGGCUCAUCACAUCCUGGGGCUGUAGUCGGUCCCAAGGGUAUGGCUGUUCGCCAUUUAAAGUGGUACGCGAGUUGGGUUCAGAACGUCGUGAGACAGUUCGGUCCCUAUCUGCCAUGGGCGUUGAGAUUUGAGAGGGGCUGCUCCUAGUACGAGAGGACCGGAGUGGACGAACCCCUGGUGUUCCGGUUGUCACGCCAGUGGCAUUGCCGGGUAGCUACGUUCGGAAGCGAUAACCGCUGAAAGCAUCUAAGCGGGAAGCGCGCCUCAAGAUGAGAUCUCCCGGGAGCUUGACUCCCCUAAAGGAACGUUGAAGACUACGACGUUGAUAGGCUGGGUGUGUAAGUGCAGCAAUGCAUUGAGCUUACCAGUACUAAUGAUCCGUGCGGCUUGAUCAA